GAUGAACGCUGGCGGCGUGCUUAACACAUGCAAGUCGAACGGGAAUUACUUUAUUGAAACUUCGGUCGAUUUAAUUUAAUUCUAGUGGCGGACGGGUGAGUAACGCGUGGGUAACCUGCCUUGUACAGGGGGAUAACAGUCAGAAAUGACUGCUAAUACCGCAUAAGCGCACAGGACCGCAUGGUCCGGUGUGAAAAACUCCGGUGGUAUAAGAUGGACCCGCGUUGGAUUAGCUAGUUGGCAGGGUAACGGCCUACCAAGGCGACGAUCCAUAGCCGGCCUGAGAGGGUGAACGGCCACAUUGGGACUGAGACACGGCCCAGACUCCUACGGGAGGCAGCAGUGGGGAAUAUUGCACAAUGGGGGAAACCCUGAUGCAGCGACGCCGCGUGAAGGAAGAAGUAUCUCGGUAUGUAAACUUCUAUCAGCAGGGAAGAAAAUGACGGUA
rnacentral:rRNA from 1 species